rnacentral:rRNA from 1 species
AUUGAACGCUGGCGGCAUGCCUUACACAUGCAAGUCGAACGGCAGCACGGGAGCAAUCCUGGUGGCGAGUGGCGAACGGGUGAGUAAAGUAUCGGAACGUGCCCAGUCGCGGGGGAUAACGUAGCGAAAGUUAGGCUAAUACCGCAUAAGAUCUAUGGAUGAAAGAGUGGGAUCGCAAGACCUAGAGCGAUCGGAGCGGCGGAGAUCGGAGUAGGUAGGUGGAGGGGUAAAGGCUCACCAAGCAGACGAUCUGUAGCUGGACUGAGAGGACGACCAGCCACACUGGGACUGAGACACGGCCCAGACUCCUACGGGAGGCAGCAGUGGGGAAUUUUGGACAAUGGGCGAAAGCCUGAUCCAGCCAUGCCGCGUGCAGGAUGAAGGCCUUCGGGUUGUAAACUGCUUUUGUACGGAACGAAAAGGUUUGGCCUAAUAAGCUGAGCUCAUGACGGUACCGUAAGAAUAAGCACCGGCUAACUACGUGCCAGCAGCCGCAGUAA